GAUCCAGAUCGAUUUUUGCCUGAGAAGAUUCAAAAUCGUCAUCCUUACUCGUAUCUACCAUUUAACGCUGGAUCACGUACUUGCAUUGGUCAACGAUUUGCUCUAUUGGAAAUGAAAGCGAUGGUAGUUUCUCUGAUACACAAUUUCUAUUUGGAACCCGUUGAUUAUUUAAAAAAUCUUCGGCUACAGACUGAUAUGGUACUUCGACCUGCUCAUCCACUUCGUGUAAAAUUUGUUCCUAUCAGCAAAAUGAAUGCAAAUACUUGAAGCAAAUCCAAAUUUAUCGAACAUCGUAAAAAGUAAAUGUCAUGAAAAUAGAAAGAAAUAAUUUUGUUUAUUAUAUUGUAUUUACAUCGCUAAUACACAAGUUAAUGCAUUUACAUCGUUAAUAC